AGAGUUUGAUCCUGGCUCAGGAUGAACGCUGGCGGCGUGCCUAACACAUGCAAGUCGAGCGAUUCUCUUCGGAGAAGAGCGGCGGACGGGUGAGUAACGCGUGGGUAACCUGCCCUGUACACACGGAUAACAUACCGAAAGGUAUGCUAAUACGAGAUAAUAUGCUUUUAUCGCAUGGUAGAAGUAUCAAAGCUUUUGCGGUACAGGAUGGACCCGCGUCUGAUUAGCUAGUUGGUAAGGUAACGGCUUACCAAGGCGACGAUCAGUAGCCGACCUGAGAGGGUGAUCGGCCACAUUGGAACUGAGACACGGUCCAAACUCCUACGGGAGGCAGCAGUGGGGAAUAUUGCACAAUGGGCGAAAGCCUGAUGCAGCAACGCCGCGUGAGCGAUGAAGGCCUUCGGGUCGUAAAGCUCUGUCCUCAAGGAAGAUAAUGACGGUACUUGAGGAGGAAGCCCCGGCUAACUACGUGCCAGCAGCCGCGGUAAUACGUAGGGGGCUAGCGUUAUCCGGAAUUACUGGGCGUAAAGGGUGCGUAGGUGGUUUCUUAAGUCAGAGGUGAAAGGCUACGGCUCAACCGUAGUAAGCCUUUGAAACUGGGAAACUUGGGUGCAGGAGAGGAGAGUGGAAUUCCUAGUGUAGCGGUGAAAUGCGUAGAUAUUAGGAGGAACACCAGUUGCGAAGGCGGCUCUCUGGACUGUAACUGACACUGAGGCACGAAAGCGUGGGGAGCAAACAGGAUUAGAUACCCUGGUAGUCCACGCCGUAAACGAUGAGUACUAGCUGUCGGAGGUUACCCCCUUCGGUGGCGCAGCUAACGCAUUAAGUACUCCGCCUGGGAAGUACGCUCGCAAGAGUGAAACUCAAAGGAAUUGACG
rnacentral:rRNA from 1 species